UUUUGGUUCCAAUUGCUAGCAUAAGACUAUCACUUUCAUCCAUAACCGUAUCAGAUCUCCAAUACGCAUUUUCUCUCUCCAAUUCUUCAAAUUUUUAUGAGUGUUUAACUUCUGUCUCGAAUCUAUAAAUCGAUUUCAAAAUCGGAGUCUACAUUGUAUCAUUUGGUGAAUUUGCUGCCAAUUUUCUCAAAUUUAAAGGUCGAAAUGAACAAUUUUCAAGUGAAUGUUUCUGUGAUUUGUCACAGUUGAAUUAGUCAAGAUUGUUGUUUAAUUUCGUGAUUCCAUUCCAAAAUUCUCAAAUAUAGAGGUAUAUGCUGCCAAUUUAGUUCAUUUAGAUUUUUAGGUUAUUAAUUACUUCAAUUUUCAUUGCUAAUUUUUCUUUGAGCUUAAUACAUGAGGAAAGGGUUGCUUAAAUUGUCCAAAAGUAAAGUAAAUCUCUAUAAAUGUAAAUUAAACCUCGCUAAAAGUUGAUGAAUAGAAGGAGGCGAAUGUAAUUCGGUUUUCGGGUCUGAAAAGAUUGUCAGUAGGCUAGGAGUUGUGUUUUUUUUCCCUGGCUUGAGUUUGGAGUGUAGAUGUUAUGAGCUUGGGCUGUAUUUGCUUAGAAAAAGGCCAAAACAACUAUAAUUGUAGUUUGUUAAGUGAUGGCUUAGAAAAAAAAUCUUAGGACUGGAUUUAGAGUUGUUGGAAGCCUCUUAUGAUGCAGACAUGGUGUGAGGUACAUAUUUUUCGUUCAUCCAACCAUCUGCCAGCCAUGCUGUUCUGGUUUUAGUUCACCGUACCUGUGUACUUUUGGUGUGUCUAACUAAAAACAUAAUUAGUGUUGCAGAUUUUCGCACUGCCAGUCAUUUACACCAACUAGAAAUGUUGCAGAGUUCCUUGUUGUUGAGGAAUUUACUACAACUAACAUGCUGUUUCUCAAAAGACUAAAAUUAAGAUAAAAAGAGAUGUCUAUGUGGCAUCUUUAUCUCCAUCGGUACCGACAUAGAAAGGUAAACUUAGCAAUUUUAGGCCUUGUAGAGUUUAUAAUUUAAUUUAGAAAGUAAAUUAGUUAGACUCUAAAGUAAAUAAACAUUUAGUAAAAGUAGAUUAAUUAAAUUAAAAGUAAAUAAAGGUUGGAUGUUAAGUUGAGGAAGCAUCUGUUGUUGUUAGCUACUGAUUAUGGGUUUUUGUCAAAUGGGUGCCACUGAUUUGUUAGGUGGUGCUAGAGGCACUGAUUUUGAGCCUCUGUUGUUGUUAGCUAUUGAUUAUGGAUUUCUGUCAAAUAGGCCCCAACUAAAUAAGAUUAUAAUGUAUGUUUCCCUGCAAUUCCUUUUGGUUUCUGUAUAAAUCUGAAACCAUUAAGCAUGAAAGUAGUUGUUGUAUGCAGUUUUCUCGAUACAGCUAUACGAGAUGCUCGUGUAGUUUCCCAGCAAGGUUUUACUGCCAUAUACUAAAAAGUAAAUUAGUUAGCCUCAAAAGUAAAUAAAUAAUUAGUAAAAGUAGAUUAAUUAAAAUUAAAAGUAAAUAUUCUAAACGAUAUAUGUUUGUACAACAUCUCUUUUUCUCCUACGCUUUUUUUGCUUAUGUCUUGCAGUGAGUGAUUCACGAGCUUACUGGGAUCCAACCAUGUUCUGAGUUGUGUUGUUGUUGUUUGCUGCUACUGUUUAGAUCUUACUGCUAUUUCUGAUCUUCUUGACUACUCUGUUUCUCUGAUCUGUGUUGCUGUUAUGUUGUUCCUGUGUUGUUGGUUUGGUAUGUGGUUCCAUGCUUUAAGUUGUUUUGCCAGGUUUAAGCCAAAAUUAUGUUGGUCAGUUUUGGUCGUUAUAUUCUGUUUCAAUCGUGUUUAUGCUAUUAUGUUGUUAUUUGUGUAGUGUGUUAUAGUUGUUGUUAGUUUACAUAAGUUGAGUCAGUCAGCAAGGUUGUGUUGCUUACGUUAGUCGUGCUGAUCUGAUGCAUUCAGCUGUCUAAAGGACUGCUGGUCAAGUUAGCAUGGUUGGGUUACUACUGUGAAAUAAGGUUUGAUGCGGUGCUAGUUCCUGUGUUGCGGUGGUCCUGUUUCCUAGGCAAGGGAUGUUGGUGGUUUUAGGUCUUCGGGUAGUUGUGUGCUAGGGUGGGUGAUGGCUUGUUCUGAAGGUGUUGAGUGUGGUGUAUGUAUUGCGAAGAAGACGAGAUCGUGUUGAGUAUUUUGUAUGACUUAAUAUCAGUUGGAGUUGAGUAUUUUAUUACUAGAUGUGUUUAAACCUAUUAGCUCAAAUGGUAGAGCACUAUGCAUAUGCAUAGGAGAUGUAAGUUCGAUUCCUACAUAGGUUGUCUCUAAAGUUAAAAAAAAUUCAAAAGUAAAUACAAGGAACUCCAAAGUAAAUAAAAGAAAAUCAUAAUAAAUCAAAAGUAAAUCAAAGUAUUUCUAAAGUACAUGUACAAUUAGUGUACAUUAAACUAAAAAAGAAAAUAAUUAUAAAGCUUCUUUCAAAAGGAAAGCAUAAUAUAUAAAAGUAAAGAAAAUAAAGAUAUAAGUAAAUGGAAUUGUUCCAAAAGUAAAGUGGAACUGUUUUCACUUUCAUUCUCAUCGAUUUGAUUCAAAGAUAAAGAUUAUUUGCUCUAAAAUAGAUUGACACGAUUUUCCUUUUGUUCAAUGUAAAAGUAAACAAAGAACUCGUAAAAGUAAAUAAAACUAAUUCAAAAGUAAAUAAAACAACCCAUAGUAGAUUACGAUUUUUGUGUUCUGGUGGUGUCCUUGAAUGGAACUGUGUGGCAAACAUUGUCUGUGGUGGCAAACCUCGUGGCUAGCUGUAGUGAUUUGAUGUUGUGAAUAUGUGCUCUGGGUUGUAUGCUCAAAAGAAAACUAAAUCGCUCUAAUAGUAAACUAAAUCCUUAUAAAAGUAAACAAAAUAAUAAACUUCAAUUGUAAAAAUGACAAACAACUCCAAAAAACCCAAUAAUAUUCUGAAGUAAUUCGAAAAAUCUAAGAAGUAAAUAAUAUAAACUCAAAAGUAGAUAAUAUAAACUCAAAAGUAAACAAUAUAGACUCAAAAUUAAAUAAAGGAAACUCAAAAGUCAACGAACCUACGUGGGAUUCGAACCCACGUCUUUUGUGCAUUUGCACAAUGCUCUACCAAUUGAGCUAGUAGGCUAGUGUUUUUAAAUAGAAUAAAUAAAAGUAAAGCAAAACCCAAAAAAGUAAAUCAAAAUAAUUCAAAAGUAAAGGCCCCGAUUACUUGUGAAAAUUAGCUCAGUAAGGGUAUUGAUGCAAUUAUUCACACACAAGAUUUAGCAGCAGCCAAAUAAAGCAGAACAACUGCCCAAGAUUUCAAUCAUGGCAGCAUACCACCCCUGACUGACCUGCAAGUCUGUAACAGUCCCUCCCUGAAAAACAAACCGCUUGCAACAGCAGCUUACAUCCACCUGAGACUAAUACCAAUAUGCGCAACACCUAUACUAGCCUAUAAUCUUGCACCUGAAAAUACAACACAACUAACCUGACCAGGAUCGUCAUAAAAACAGGCCAAAAAUCAGACCCAACGCACAUUCAAGCAUCUAGCUCAACAGACCAGAAUCACCAUCACAUAAAACCCACCACUGCAACCAAACGACACAAUAAGUCCUCCUAGUCACCUAAGAUCAAUGGCCAAGAAGAGUAGACUGACUGAAACCAAUAGCACAAAGUCAUCCAUGGUCAACUUGCUUCAAAAACCCACAAACAUAACAUGACCAGAAACUGAUCGAACCCUAAGCAUGACCUUCUCACCUUAGAAAACCUUACAACAACAAGCAAACCAGAGCAGCUACACUAGGAACAACAUAGUGUAGUCGAGACAGAUACAUUAUACCAUAAACUCGUGAAUUUGAACAUUACUCCAAGUAAAAGCAAUAAGAUUUACUACUAAGGUGAUUUAACAUUAAUCAUUUUGAUUUUUCGUUCACAUCUAUCAGUUGGAACCAGGGGAGGAGAAUUAGCUAUCUUAGCUGAUAUAAACGGUGAAUGUAUGCAAAAAGGAUCAAAAUGUUUCAAUAUUUUCAAGAACCACCCAACAUACUACUAUAUCAUAAACUAGAAUAACAUGUGAGCUUAAGAACGUCCGAGUUCUUAAGCAAAUCACUAACAGUUAUUUGAUCCAGUGACCAAAUCAACUCAAUUCUAGAAAAUUAAGCAUAUUUCAGAAAAUCAAAAGUAAAAACCGAAUUCAAUCAAUUCAAUUCAAAAAAUUGGAAUAAAUUGCAUAAACUUCAAUCGAAAAAAUUGAGACAAUAAAGAAUUUAUUCCUUUUUUCUUCAACAUACAAACUAUAACGCACAAUAUUCGAGCGAAAGCGGGAAAAAAAAUCAAAUAAAAAGCAAAAAUUUCAAUUAAAAACUAAUUAAAGAAAAAUUUGCAAUUUAAAAAGCCCUAAUUUUUGCCACCAAAAUCAAAUAUUCUUAAACAAUUUUUUUUGAAACCCUAGUUACAACAAUCGAAACUUAAAAUGAUUGAAUCAAAAGUAUAAGAGAUAAAAUAAAUUGAAUACUUACUUGACGAAAAUCAAAUAAAGGAGAAGAUUCAAAGGUUGAAAAGCGAAGGCUGCGAUGAACGCGAGCGAAGAUGAGAAAAAUCGCAGAGGAAUUGAAGGAGGAGAGAGAAAACAGUAGGAAGAGAGAGGAAGAAAUCUGGAAAUCAGGUUGGAAGGGAGAGGUCAUUCAGAACUUUAAAAUUACAAAUUUACCCUUAAUAUUUUCAUUUGGUCGGGUGGAGCUUGGGCCGUUGGAUUGGUUUGAUCGACGGCUGAGAUUAGUUCUCAGUUAUCAUAUUAAGGGGUGGUUCUCACCGGAUUUGGUUUAGUUUGGUGGUAGUUGAGCAUUUUGUUUAGAAAUUAUAGGAAAAAUCUUUAUGAUUCAUCAUUGAUCGAAUCAAGUACUAAUUGACUUCGAUCAUUCCAAUUUAGAUAAACCAUAUCUUAUGGAGCUAGAUUGUGAAAUUACAACACACAAUAAUUGAUGAUCAUUCUUGGUAUAAGUAAUCAUCAACAUGAUCUAACCUAGAUCUUUAUGAUUUCUUGUCAAGUGGACGUUUUUAUACUUUUCUAUGAAUAUGUGAAGUAGCCAAACAGAUUCAAACUUAUAUCACUUUGAGUAAAUAAAUCUAUAUUCACUCAAAACCAUGUGAAAUAAUAAAGUCAUAAAAUCUUUCUUUAGCUUUGAACUCUAUUGUCCAGGCGUUCUAACAAUAGUUCAUAUCUUUUGUUAGUUUCAACAAGUAAGACUAGCUUGUCUUGAAUUGAUCUAGAAAUCAAUCUACUUUCAAAAAUCCAUCAAAAUAGAGCUUUUGAAUGUUACCUUGUUGAUAUGGUCUAAGUAAUAAUGCCAAAGAUUUUAGGAACUCAAAUCAAGAGAUUGAUUUGAACCUAGUAAAGUUCUUUAUUGUUAAAGAGUUGUUUGUUUUAAUCAAGCAUAUUGACUCAACCCGUAAAUGACCAUUUCAUUCAAAUAAACAAACACACAUUGUUUUUGUUUUUCUGAAUGUGAGUCUUUCUGUGUUUGAAAACAGAAAUUUAGGUAUGCUGAUUAUGGAACAAAAUAGCCAUUAAGUUCCAGCCUUGAAAGGACUUAAAACAAACUAGAUGACCCUACAACUAAUGUAGCAAUGCCAUGCUUCAUUUCCCACUUGUAGGUCAUUAGUGUAUCCUAGCUUCCAUCAUUUGAGUUAUUACCAAAGUAAGAACCUCAAGCUAUGAUACCAAGGAAGUUUAAUUGAUAGGUCACUUCUCUUUAAACAUAAACUUAUAGGUAGAAAAGGAAUUGUAAAUUCCUUUUCACUUGUUCCUUGUUUUCUAUUUCUUGUACCCUUUCUUAUAGUCUUAAGAAUUGACUUCUCUAGUGUUGACUUUUAUACUUUGUUAGACAUGUCCAAUGUCACUAUAACAAAGGUCUUACCAUUUUAUUUAUGUUGAAUAUUUUGCUUCAACUAGAUGAUCUUACUAGAAGCUUCUAAAGUUCUCUAAGCAUCAAUCUAUUCGAAUGUCUAGGGACUAGACUCAUUCGAGAAUUAAAUGGACAAAGAUAUUAGGUUGUUAACCAUUGGUAAAUUUGAGCGUUUAAACUAAAUGCUUUAUGAUCUCAAAACUACAUUGUAUUUUGAAUUCACAAGCACCAAUCGGUUUUCCAUUCGACUUUGAUACUCGAAAACAACCAUAAAAGUCACUAUAAGAAACGUACAUUAUAGAAAGAUUCACUAUCAAUCGAGGAAAUUUAUUGUUACCUUUCUAAAAGGAUUUACUGCAGGGGAAGAUAUUUAAUUAAAAACAAUAAUUAAAACAUACAUUGAAGCAUGAAAAGAAUAAACAUUUAUCAUGAGUAAUAACUUGAAAAUUAAAGCAAUCAUGCAAUUUAAACAAGUUAGUGGCAUUUUAUUCGAAAUAUUUAGUUCCGGCGGGUGUGAAUAAAAUGAAUCCAAGACCCCAAAAUUAUUGAAAUAUUAAAGCACGAUUCGACUUGAUUCUAAAAUAUUUUAGGUAAGCAAAUCCCUUGAUAAUAGUCUAGAAACUAUUCUUGGUUGAUAGGCACGUCUAAGAACUUAUUAGGAAAACCUAUCCCAUUUGCCACGACAUAAAAGGACUCCUUACUUAUAUCGUUGAGUUCAACCAAAAUCAACUUGUAUUCACAACUAAUUGUGUACUACGAUCAGAAGUGACACCUCGCUAAUUAUAUGGCGGAAAACCAUCACUAAUUGAUCGACAAAUGUACUCACGACAUUGUGUACCUUAACCCUUUAGAAUCAAUAAGUAACACCUCGCUAUGGUGGAAAACAAUUACUAGAUUGAUGUAAAGGAUAUCCAAGUAAGCGUUAUUUUGGCAUGACACCUUUUAACUCAAUUUUAAAGUUUGGAACUUAGGGCUCUUACUAUGUUGGUUAGAUUUUAAGUAAACUAAAAUCCUUAAUCAUGCAACAUAAUCAAGCCUCAAGCUCAUGCAUAAUAUCAAGACAUAUUUAAAGCAAUAAAUAUCUUAAAGCAUGCAUAAGAUUUAAAUGUGAUCUAGUAUGACCCGACUUCAUCUUGAAGCUUCAACUUCAAAUUCCGUCUUGAAAAUGGAUUUGAAACUCCGUCUUGAAUUCACCAUGGGAGGCUCCAUUUUCUUCAAAUAGGAUAUGCUAUAAUUAAACUAAUUACUACUAUUUGAUGGUACGUAGACCAUAUUUAAAUAAAAACUUUGGUGCAUAAGACCAAAUUUACAUUCAAAUUAAUGGUACGUAGACCAUAUUUACUAUCCUAUUUGGGCCAUACUAGUCACUUUCCACAACCUGCAAAAUAGUACAUUUACAAUAUACCAUUCAUCCAUUCAUUUAUCAAUGAAUGGCCCACAUAGCAAGUUAAACAUUUGCAGCAACUAAUCAAAGGUUCCAACAAUCUACAAAUUAUUCAACCUUAUUAGUUCUAAUCGAGUUGUUUUAACCUUAAAGGAAUAAAGACCUAAUCAAGAGUUUAAUGACUAAAAGCUCCCACUAAAACCAAGAAUUUACAUGCUUUACAAAUUUCAUACAUAAAAUUGUAUUUCCUAGUCCAACCGAAAACUUACAAAUUUAAUUAAAAAGCUCACAUAAAAUAAUUUUAAAUCCCUUUUAUUAUUUUCAGUUGAUUAAAAUUAAUUAAUUAUAAUUUUACCAAGGUUUAAAUUUUAUUAAAAUAAUUAGUAUAAAAUAAAUUAUAAUAAUUACAUUAAUCAAAAUUAAAUUUCGAGAAAAAUCAAAUUACGAAAUUAAAUUUAAUUAAAAUCGUUUUUCAACCGAAAAUUAAAACAAAACUAGACAAGUUAAUCGGCCAAGGCAAGGCCCAUGCCUCGCCAAGGCUUGCAGCGUCACAAGAGCUGACUGCACGCAUGGCCUAGGCCAUCGCAUAGCCAGGCCCUCGCCAGCGCCCAUUGGCUCGAUGCCAUCGCUGGCUGCCACUGCUUGCUUGCUUAGUUUGCGCGCAUGGCACGAGGGCAUCCAUCGAUGCCUCGUCGCCAUUGCUGCUGGGCACAACGCGGGCUGGCAAACGCGCAUGGCUCGAAAGCCAUCGCACACUGCCUCGACGCCAGCACUGCUGGGCGUGUGCAGCGUUGCCCUUUCGCCUUGCUCGAUCACUCGCACAACACACACUGCACAAGCUGCCCGCACGCGCAUGCUAGUGCAUUUCCUCGUUGCCUCGUACCUUAUGGGCGACGAGCUCCCUUGCUCGUCGUUGCAUGCCCGCACAAUGCAACACCCCUUAAGGGUAACACUUAGCUUCCAUUGCUUCGUGCGUGCAAGAUCGUGAACGAUUCAUGAAAAUCAAAACUUUUAUAUUUAAAUUUAACGACAAAUUAAUAAUCCAUAUCAAUUUCACUAAAUUUAGGCGAAAAUCAAAAAUUUAUUUUUCAAAUUAAUUUCCGAUUACAUGAUUUCUUAGGGAUUAAAAUCUAGGUCAUAAAAUUUAAAUAUUUCAAUUUUAACAAAUUUUAUGGUGGUUUUUAAUCAUAGGAUCCUAAUUAAAUUAUCAAUUAAUUAUGAAAAUCAAAACAAAUUCUAAAUUAUUUGAAAUUCAACAAAUUAAUUAUAAUUACAAAUUAGGUUGUAUCCUAACCCUUUUAAAAGGAAGAGAUGCCUCCCAAUUUUCCUUAAAAAUAGUGUAAUUACGAUUCUGCCCUUAAAUUCUUCAUGAAUUACCACCUCACCCUUAUCCCUUUAGAAAAAUGCUUACUUCUGCUUUCCUCUCUCCCCUCCCAUGCCUUUGGUACCUCCGCGGCUCCGCCCUCUUCCCUCCCAUAGCGUUGGUACCAAAAAAAAAUCUCAUUCUUUUAUCUUUUUCUGGGUAUGAUUUCAUUUUUAUUUGCACAAAUAGAUUUCCACAAAUACUCAUAAUUUGCUGAUUCAAAUGACUUUGAGAGAGCUUGAGGCGAAAGAUUAGGGUUUCAAAAUGAGAUGGAUUGGGGUUCGCAUUCAUUUGACUUGGACGGCAUUCCGGAAGGGUUUAUCAAUUCGAGCAUCAAUGGCCUACUGCUAAAGCUACUCUCUGUUCUAGAAGAAUACAUCUUCUUAAGGAAAGAGAAGGGGGCAGAGUAUUAGAGGCGCGCAAAGGAUACCCUCACGACCCUUGUAGGUCCUCUACUUCUUCAAAGGAAACCUUUAAAAAGGUUCAACACAUGCUGCAAAAAGACCAUUUAUUAGUGGAGGCUUUCUAGGAGCGACGUCUUGGAAAGGCACCUUAGGUCAGUUGGCUUGGAAGCGAAGGGCCUAUAAGAGGAUGAGGAAUCCAGCAUUGAUGCAAUAGAAAAGCGUUCCUUGGAAGAGAAUGAAGAGGGUGGUCUUUUAGGAAAUCCUUAAUGUAGACAUGAAGACAUGUAUCUUUUGUUGCAAGUUUAAUAUGACCGGGAAAACAACUACAAGUUAAGGGUUUAGGGUGAGUGCAUUGAUUAAAAAGGUGUUACCUAGAUUUCUAUUAGCUAUUUUACAUAGACAUAAAUGAAAGAGGUGUUGGAGGAGAUCCUUUUACAACUACGGUUUUGGAGGAGAUCCUUUUACAACUUUUGGUAGCUGCUGCUUGAGUCUCUUUAUGCCUCCGAAGUUUGCAUCAUCUCUCUCCUCCAAUCUCAAGCGCAGCCAUGAUUAUCUCAGAGAAGAAUUGCAAGGAUAUUUCCAAGUACCUCUUCCAAGGGUGUGUGCUUUGCUAAGGAGGACUACAACCUUGCAAAACAUCCUAACAUCGAUAUCCCAAAUCUGCAAGUGAUUAAGCUCAUGCAGAGCUUUAAGUCGAAGGAGUAUGUCUGUGAGACCUUUGCCUGGAUGCACUACUACCGGUACUAGACAAACGAUGGUAUUGAAUUCUUACCCUUAAGAAGCAGAUGAAGGCUGUUGUUUCAUGGGUCCCGGUGGUGAUCGCCUGGCUGUUGGUCGUCCCAUGGGUCCCAGUGGUGAUCGCCCACGUAGCCCACCUAGGUUUGGGGGUGAGCGACCAAGGUUCGGUGACUGUGAGGGUUACUAUUCAGGACCUCGUGGACCACCUGGUGAAUUCAGUGGUGAGAAGGGUGGAGCUUCAGUUGAUUACCAGCCUUCAUUUGGUGGACGAAGUGUAAUUUCUGUUUAUGAUUCACCGAAAGUCCUAGCCGUCUACCUCAACCUUAAAGUGAGGACAAUUAAGAACACAAAGGUGGCCUUUGCAUCGAUUUCCUCGGUUUCUUUACAAAGAAUGGGUCUGAUAAUACAUAUUCUUGAAAGGACUCCCCACUAAGCAGACUACUUACAAUGUAAUAAAGCCCAACUAACAACCGUAAAGUUGAAGUUUUUCUAUAUUGUACUAAAGGCUCCCUAAUUACGAGUUUGCUCAUUGACGAUAGCAGGUCUAAGUGUCGUUUAAUUGUAUCCGUAUCUAUCCCCAAGUUUAGGUUUGAUCAUUAACAAUAAUUUUUCAUUUGCUAUUAAGUGUGUUGCACUGAUCUUUUCCGUAAUCUUAUAUAACAUAACAA